rnacentral:rRNA from 1 species
GGCGGCGUGCUUAACACAUGCAAGUCGAGCGGAAAGGCCCUUCGGGGGUACUCGAGCGGCGAACGGGUGGGUAACACGUGAGCAACCUGCCCCUGACUCUGGGAUAAGCCCGGGAAACUGGGUCUAAUACCGGAUACGACCGCCCCGGCAUCGGGUGGUGGUGGAAAGUUUUUUCGGUUGGGGAUGGGCUCGCGGCCUAUCAGCUUGUUGGUGGGGUAGUGGCCUACCAAGGCGACGACGGGUAGCCGGCCUGAGAGGGCGACCGGCCACACUGGGACUGAGACACGGCCCAGACUCCUACGGGAGGCAGCAGUGGGGAAUAUUGCGCAAUGGGCGGAAGCCUGAGCCAGCGACGCCGCGUGGGGGAUGACGGCCUUCGGGUUGUAAACCUCUUUCAGCAGGGACGAAGGUGACGUGUACCUGCAGAAGAAGCGCCGGCUAACUACGUGCCAGCAGCCGCGGUAAUACGUAGGGCGCAAGCGUUGUCCGGAAUUAUUGGGCGUAAAGAGCUCGUAGGUGGCUGGUCGCGUCUGCCGUGAAAGCCCGCAGCUUAACUGCGGGUCUGCGGUGGAUACGGGCCGGCUAGAGGUAGGUAGGGGCAAGUGGAAUUCCUGGUGUAGCGGUGAAAUGCGCAGAUAUCAGGAGGAACACCGGUGGCGAAGGCGGUUCUCUGGGCCUUACCUGACGCUGAGGAGCGAAAGCGUGGGGAGCGAACAGGAUUAGAUACCCUGGUAGUCCACGCUGUAAACGUUGGGCACUAGGUGUGGGGAUCUUCCACGAUUCCGUGCCGGAGCUAACGCAUUAAGCGCCCCGCCUGGGGAGUACGGCCGC